UGGGGGAUAUUGCACAAUGGGGGGAAACCCGUGAUGCAGCGACGCCGCGUGUGGGAAGACGGUCUUCUGGAUUGUAACCACUGUCCCCAGGGACGAAAAUGACGGUACCUGGGGAGGAAGCUCCGGCUAACUACGUGCC
rnacentral:rRNA from 1 species